AGUACGGCCGCAAGGUUAAAACUCAAAUGAAUUGACGGGGGCCCGCACAAGCGGUGGAGCAUGUGGUUUAAUUCGAUGCAACGCGAAGAACCUUACCUGGUCUUGACAUCCACGGAAGUUUUCAGAGAUGAGAAUGUGCCUUCGGGAACCGUGAGACAGGUGCUGCAUGGCUGUCGUCAGCUCGUGUUGUGAAAUGUUGGGUUAAGUCCCGCAACGAGCGCAACCCUUAUCCUUUGUUGCCAGCGGUCCGGCCGGGAACUCAAAGGAGACUGCCAGUGAUAAACUGGAGGAAGGUGGGGAUGACGUCAAGUCAUCAUGGCCCUUACGACCAGGGCUACACACGUGCUACAAUGGCGCAUACAAAGAGAAGCGACCUCGCGAGAGCAAGCGGACCUCAUAAAGUGCGUCGUAGUCCGGAUUGGAGUCUGCAACUCGACUCCAUGAAGUCGGAAUCGCUAGUAAUCGUGGAUCAGAAUGCCACGGUGAAUACGUUCCCGGGCCUUGUACACACCGCCCGUCACACCAUGGGAGUGGGUUGCAAAAGAAGUAGGUAGCUUAACCUUAGGGAGGGCGCUUACCACUUUGUGAUUCAUGACUGGGGUGAAGUCGUAACAAGGUAACCGUAGGGGAACCUGCGGUUG
rnacentral:rRNA from 1 species